CAGUCGCCGCGGUAAUACGAAGGGGGCUAGCGUUGUUCGGAUUUACUGGGCGUAAAGGGUGCGUAGGCGGACUGAUAAGUCAGGGGUGAAAUCCCAAGGCUCAACCUUGGAACUGCCUUUGAUACUGUUAGUCUUGAGUUCGAGAGAGGUGAGUGGAACUGCGAGUGUAGAGGUGAAAUUCGUAGAUAUUCGCAAGAACACCAGUGGCGAUGGCGGCUCACUGGCUCGAAACUGACGCUGAGGCACGAAAGCGUGGGGAGCAAACAGGAUUAGAUACCCCGGUAGUCCCUGUCUCUUAUAC
rnacentral:rRNA from 1 species